AGUACUACAGGGGGAAAAGGAUUAUGGUCAAGGGAGACUCUCCUACAGCCAAAGGGAUUUGGAUGGGAGUCCCACUCAUUGCCCCAAACCCCACAGGGAGACUCAGACAGAUAGAGAGUGUACAGGAUAGCCUGGCUGGGCGAACUUCAGACUACUGUGAACUAAAGGGUGCCCUUUCAGAACAAAGGAAACCACAGAUACUCUGUCAGCAGGCAAGCUAAGGAGAGACAGAGAAACUAGGCAAGGCACUCUUCUGGGGACCUGAGAAAAUGCCGCCAACUAGACAUUCUCUUUGCAUUCACAUUACAUGGAUUUGAUAGGUUUGUAGGCAUUCCCCCCCGGAAUCCCAAGCCAUCAUUUCACAGGGCUAUUUCAAAAGCAGGGAUUUUUAUAGAUGCUUGCGUUUGUUUGCUAACCUCAAGAAAGUCUCCAAAGACCGACCUCCUAUGCCUUUAGUCAGGUCUUACUGUGCAUCCUAAAUAAAAUGGUCACAGCCUUCAACUCCCCCUGGGUUCCUCUGCUUCAUCUGUACACUUCCCAUUCCUCCACUAACUCAUUCAAGCAACUGCUCAGGAUAAGUUACAUCCACUCCGUUUCAGUGUGCCUUGCAGCAAAAUGUUGAGCACCGAGAACCCUCACGGCUGUAUUUAAUAGUGGUUUGUUAUUCCCCCCUGAGUCCCUUCUGCUGGUUUUACCGAAUGCAGUUUAAAAGAUAAAUUUCCAUCUUAAAAGGAUACUAUAGGGGGUGUUAAUAAGUUGUCCAGAACUUUGGGAGUGUUCAGUGGGAGUCAUGGCAAUGUGCAACCCUGCCUGAGGAGAAAUGAUCUGCACCAUCAGAGAGCAUCCGAUGCUGCUACAUCUGCACACACCCAGAGCUUCUCAGGAAGACUUUCUGCCACACUAAACAGUUCCCAGACCCUGGAACUGUUAUUGGAGUGUGGAUUGGUUAUGGUAUCCAGGGGACACUUAUCAGAUCCUUAUUGCUUUGUUUGCAAUAAUUUUAAUCUUCAUAGCAAUGCUGUCAGGUCAAGGGGACCAUUGUACACACUUUGUAGAUAAAACCAUGAAGGUUCCGAGAAGUUAAUUGACUUUGUCAAGGCCAUGGAGUUGUGCAGACAUGGGAUUUGAACCUGCCUUUCCUUUGAAAUCACAUAUAACGAUGACUUCCUGGCUUAUCGGUCAGUGUACUUCUUUCCCUCUCCCUAUAGCAAACAUAUCUUAUCCAACUUACCCAUCUGUUGUCUGGACAUACCAGAACUAGGUGUCUUUUUCUGGUUUUUCAACUUCUUCAUCGCUUUUCCUUUUGAUCUGUAUUAGCAUUAUAGCAGUCUUAAAGAGUUAUUUCACUGGUGGCAUGCCAGGAAUGGUUACUCUAGUAGAGUAGAACACAGAAUCACAUCUGUAAUUGACUGGCAUGUCUGCUCAGUCUUACAACAACCACCUCCUUUAUUCUGUCUGACCAAGAUUGACAGCUUUUUAUAUGUUUGAAAUAUCAACGGUGUAAGGAGCUUGGUAUUGAUGGAAAUUAACCCGGGGCUUUAUCUAACUACCAUUCCUAGUAACUCCAGAGAAGUUCUGAUAACAAUUAACAUGUUGAGCCAAACAACAGUUCACAUAAGAAAAGUAUAUUCUACCGUCUUGUGGAACCAUCCUUCAAAUGCAGUCUGAAAUAGCCCUUUCUUCUGCCGUUCUAUUCACUAGGAACAUCUGUAUGGAAAUUUCCCCAGACAAAAUAUCACCAACCCAUUUACAAAGCAGGAGUAGAUGACAGAUAGCAUGAUAGGGAAUAUUUAAAUAUGCUGACUGUGUGCCACUCAGCACAGUUAACUGUUUUUAUGUCAUAGGUGUUGCCCACUUUGUGAGGCAAAGAAAAGACUCCCUCCUUACAGAGAAGUGAGAGCAGCCUUCCUUCUGUCUGCCUGUUUGUGGUAGCUUCAAACUUCCUCUAUUGUCUUUCAUCCCAGUGUGAAAAGAUGAACUAUUACACAGGUCACCCAUGGGAAUCUGAUUCAAACACUGAUCAUUGACCUGUGGUUAUACAAUAUAAACAAGCACUGGCACAGGAUCCAUAUAAAAUCUAGUAAAAAAAGAUGUAGAGGCCAUUGGACAGUAGUGAUCGUAUAAGAUACAUAUUUAUUGGGGAACAAAAGAAAAAAUUUUGCCAUCAUUGUGUGACACUAGUAUUUUUUUAAAUCAUACUUAAAAUAUCCGACAGAUGGGCUGCUCUUCUAAGUCCAAAUUCUCUACCUGCUGGCAGGAGGAAAGCCCAAGAAUUUGUCUUUACAGCUAGUUUAAUAGACCAGUUUCAUAUGGAUUAGCCAAGUUAGAUGUCAGCCAUUGGAGUGGGAAAAUCUGGGAAUCAAUUUAAAUUUGAGCUUAUCCUACCAUCUUCUCUGCUGAGUGAGUUCAGUAGCCUAUAAGGCACUCCACUCAGAUUUGAUUUCUCAAGUCAAAUUACUGGAGUUGUAUUUCCACCAUGAAAGGCAAAGAGAAAGAGGCCAGAGGAAGAUACAUUUAGUUCAAGGUGUCACAGCUGACCUCAAGCCACUAAAAGGAGCUAUCCCUCCCUGCUCAACUCAUAAGUCCAGUCACUGAAUUCUUUUGCCUAAAAAUAAUGUCAGCUCCUUGAAAUUGAAAAUAAAACGAAAAGACAUUCCUCUCCAGGGAAGUUUGAAAAAAAAUAUUCAGACAACUUAAUUCUCAAAUGUAUUAGCAGUCAGUUCAGAGUGACAGUUGUCAUUACAUGGGAGCUUAAAAUUAAACUUCACUAGCUCAUAAGAUCAACUGUUUUGCAAAGAAGAGCCCAAAAUUUGCAAUCACAUUCAGCCAGCGCCGCGUCUUUCUUGUUGUUGCUGUGGUUGGUGGUGGUGUUGUGAUUGUGUGGCUCCUAUCAAUCUUCUCCCAGCAAAGUUAAAGAGCCCUCCCUUCCACAGCUGCCUCCAUGUUCACAGUGACUGAAGUUCCUCCCGCAUAUCUCAGCCUUUGAUUUUGUAGGGUUUGUAAAAAUAAUGAUGAUAAUAAUUCCUCAAUUGCUGCAGCUUAAAUUAAUUCAGGAUGAAAAUCAGAUUGCAUUUUUCACAGAUCUGGACCCUAUGCUAAGCCGAGUGUCUGUGUUUAAUUAACGUGUAGACAAUUCACGGGCUUACUUUUUAAUGUGGCGAGACCAAUUUAUAUACUCCAAUUUUGUUUCAGGGGCAAUAAGAGAUCCAGUUCUCUUUACAAAUUAUUUCAAUUUUGUAAAUUAUAUUUGUCAAAAAAUAUUUCUAUGCUCCACCACUGGAGCUGUGCUCUCCCAAAAAUAUAAUAGUGUACGUGUGCUCAACUUAAAAAAAAAAAAGUGUGAGGGAAGAACUAAGCCCACUGAAUACAAAGGUUAAAUGUGUUUCAUACAAAUGAGUUUCUCAUUGUGACAUGAAACAGAGACACAACUGCUGUAAGAAUUGAGUGGAAAGAAUGAGAAAAUGAAAAGGCAACAAAAAUCACAGAAACAUGGAAACUAGUACAAGGUUGAGGAGAGCAGCGUUCUCUGAAAUGGGGAAAAGGUUAGCUGAUAUUAAAGGAUCCCGACCGAGGUGUUUCUUAUUAACCACCAUUUCCAGCUUGUUAACUUGUACUAUCAAAUCUUCAUAACUUUCAGUGACGUGCCAAUAGUAAUUAAUCUUAAACACAGCAUACUCUUUGUCCCGAAGCUUUGGUCCUGAGAGGAGACAAGGCCAGGGAAAGCACUAGGGUAGGAGGAUACUCUGCUGUAGAUGGAUGGAAUUAGAAAUCCUGUAACAAAGUCCACAGAGAGCAUUUGUGACCAUGAGCCAAGUUCGAAAAAGGAAUUCGCGGACAUCAACUGGGCAGGUGGAGAGGAAGAGAGUGGAAGCCAUGGGCUCGGGUGCACCGUAAUACAAAGCUUUUGCUGCGUGCAUGCUCCUGGGAAAAUGCUGGAUACCUGCAAUAAGAUAUGGCCUCAAGGUGAUACCUAGAAAGGAACAACCCACAGCAGAGAGUGGGACAAACAGCAACGGUACCCAGAUAGUAGAAGGGUUUCCUAACUCCUUCUGGGGACCAAGACGGAGAGGAAUCAAAAAUCUCGUGGUGUUUUCCAAGACUCUGGGUGGGUAAAGACACUGAGCGAAGGGGACUCAGUAUGGCUGGAUAGCAAAGCUCAGGCGCUCCACAUGGAUUCAUUUUUCCUCCUUCAGUCACAGGGAUGAAAAACACUAUCAUGAAAUCCUUUUGAUUAGCUUGUGAGAGG
rnacentral:lncRNA from 1 species